rnacentral:rRNA from 1 species
GACGAACGCUGGCGGCGUGCUUAACACAUGCAAGUCGAACGGAAAGGCCCUGCUUUUGUGGGGUGCUCGAGUGGCGAACGGGUGAGUAACACGUGAGUAACCUGCCCUUGACUUUGGGAUAACUUCAGGAAACUAGGGCUAAUACCGGAUAGGAGCUCCUGCUGCAUGGUGGGGGUUGGAAAGUUUCGGCGGUUGGGGAUGGACUCGCGGCUUAUCAGCUUGUUGGUGGGGUAGUGGCUUACCAAGGCUUUGACGGGUAGCCGGCCUGAGAGGGUGACCGGCCACAUUGGGACUGAGAUACGGCCCAGACUCCUACGGGAGGCAGCAGUGGGGAAUAUUGCACAAUGGGCGGAAGCCUGGUGCAGCAACGCCGCGUGCGGGAUGACGGCCUUCGGGUUGUAAACCGCUUUCGCCUGUGACGAAGCGUGAGUGACGGUAAUGGGUAAAGAAGCACCGGCUAACUACGU